UCGAGAAUAGUCUACAAUGGACGGAAGUCUGAUAGUGCGACGCCGCGUGAACGAGGAAGCCCUUCGGGGUGUAAAGUUCUUUUAUAUGUGAGCAAUGCUUUAUAUGUGAAUAGCAUAUAGGGAGAGAUAUUAGCAUAUGAAUAAGCAACGGCUAACUCCGUGCCAGCAGCCGCGGUAACACGGGGGUUGCAAGCGUUGUCCGGAAUUACUAGGCGUAAAGGGCAGGUAGGCGGAUACAUAAGUUUGAUGUUAAAGGCAGCGGCUCACCCGGCUGUACGGCAUUAGAUACUGUGUAUCUGGAAUGCGGUUGGGGAAGACAGAAUUCCUGGUGUAGCGAUGGAAUGCGCAGAGAUCAGGAGGAAUACCAAAGGCGAAGGCAGUCUUCUAAGCCGUAAUUGACGC
rnacentral:rRNA from 1 species